AGUCUGAUGAUGUAACAAAGCUGAUGAGUGUGAUCCUGGGCGGUCUGACUGCUGUUCUCCUAACAGUCAUCAUUGGUCUGGUUGUUACAAUCAGGAAACUUCAGAAAGCUGCCAGUGAAGAACAGAAUCCACCACAGCGUGAGAAUCCGGGCUCUGAUGAUCUGAACUAUGCAGCAGUGAAUUUCUGUCAAAAAGGAAAAAGAAGAGAAGUGGAGCAGAAUGUUGUGUAUUCUUCUACUAGAUAGGAAGAUCAGGAAGCAACCUGAGGUGUUGUUCAGAGUAAAACUGAUGCUUUGACAUAUUAAUCUGCAGAUGUGCUUUUGUGUUAGUGGUGGACUUACCAUUACUGUGUCAAAAGAAAAAGAAAUGUGAAGGCCUAUUCCUAGUAAUGUGUUCUAUUCCUGUUCCUCUUUUGAAAGAUGUAAUCAGAGUACAUCAAUACAGAAAGUAGAUAUUUUUAAUAUUGACUUAAUACUCUGAGUGUCUAUACUGGUAUGAGGAAUAAAAAUACAAAGAUGCAGCAGCCAUCCAGCUUUAUUUUUCUUUUCAUGUACUGUACAUGUAACAAGUCUACUGUCUACUGUGGUAAGAAAACAGCGCUGUGGGUACCAGCCUAAA